rnacentral:rRNA from 1 species
UACGGAGGGAGCUAGCGUUGUUCGGAAUUACUGGGCGUAAAGCGCACGUAGGCGGCUUUGUAAGUUAGAGGUGAAAGCCCGGGGCUCAACUCCGGAACUGCCUUUAAGACUGCAUCGCUUGAAUCCAGGAGAGGUGAGUGGAAUUCCGAGUGUAGAGGUGAAAUUCGUAGAUAUUCGGAAGAACACCAGUGGCGAAGGGCGGCUCACUGGACUGG